rnacentral:rRNA from 1 species
GACGAGCGCUGGCGGCGUGCUUAACACAUGCAAGUCGAACGGAAAGGCCCUGCUUUUGUGGGGUGCUCGAGUGGCGAACGGGUGAGUAACACGUGAGUAACCUGCCCUUGACUUUGGGAUAACUUCAGGAAACUGGGGCUAAUACCGGAUAGGAGCUCCUGCUGCAUGGUGGGGGUUGGAAAGUUUCGGCGGUUGGGGAUGGACUCGCGACUUAUCAGCUUGUUGGUGGGGUAGUGGCUUACCAAGGCUUUGACGGGUAGCGGGCCUGAGGGGGUGACCGGCACCCUGGGACUGAGGUGAGGGCCAGGAUUCUAAGGGAGGGAAGAAGGGGGGAAAUUGGCACAAUGGGCGGAGGCUGGAGGCAGCAAGGCCGGGGGGGGGUGAACGGCUUUCGGGUGGAAACCGCUUUCGCCUGUGACGAAGCGUGGGUGACGGUAAUGGGUAAAGAAGCACCGGCUAACUACGUG